GCUGGGCGUGGUGGUGCACACCUAUAAUCCCAGAUACUCAGGAGGCUGAGGCAGGAGAAUUGCUUGAACCCAGGAGGCCGAGGUUGUAGUGAGCUGAGAUCACGCCACUGCACUCCAGCCUGGGUGACAAAGUGAGACUCUGUCUCAA
rnacentral:SRP_RNA from 1 species